UCUCCCUCCUGGCCAGCUGCUGGGGGAGGGCUGAAAUCCUACCCCUCUCCCCCAACCUGGGCACCAGACCAGGGUCCCGGGGAGAGUCGGGGGCCCCGACUGGCUGCCGGGAGAGGAAGCUGGGUGGCAGGAGGGGUGGCCGGGAGAGGGGGGCACACUCCCAGCAGCCGCAGCCACAGACGCGCCUGAGCCGGUCCCAGGCCGGAGGACAAGAGCCUGCGCCCUCCCAGAGGCCAAGAAGCUGGAAGAGGCAGGAAACACUGAGCAGCAGGAGGAGUUCAUCCAGGCUGACCCCCCACCUGCGUCCAGCACUUCCGGCCCAGUGUGGCAGGCAGCUUUUCGCUAGGCGCAUCAGAAGACUUCGUUUUAACGGGAAAAGGAGCCCAAGUUAGGAGUCAGAAGACCUGGGCUUCGAAUGGCUGUGCCCGUGAGAUUUCUCUCUGGUGACACGGAGG